UACUAUCAGUGUCAAUUUGGAAAAAGCUAUACAUUACUGGAGGCCUGUGCUAAACGGUGCUACAACCAUUAUAUUAUAAACUACUAACAUGUAAGCUAUCAGACUGAGAUAAACUAGCCUAGAGCUAGCUAGCGCUUAGCCACGCUAAAUAUGGUUAGCAUCAAGCUAGAGAACUGUUAAAUGCUAUUUUUGUAGAAAUAUCAACACAUUUUAUCGAGACAUCACAUAUUUACAUAUAUUACCUGAACUGAACUGAGUCUUUGAUAGAAAAUAAAACAAAUAGGAUCUAAAACUUUGUUGAAACAAAGUACAGAAAGUUCAGACGCCAUCUUGAUCCCUUCUCUUACAUGUAANNNNNNNNNNGGUGUGAUGGUAGGUAUGGUGAUGGUAGGUAUGGUGAUGGUAGGUGUGGUGAUGGUAGGUGUGUUUAUGUUCGGUGUGAUGUAGGUGUGACAGUUGUGGUAGGUAGAUAGGUAGGUGUGGUGAUUGCAGGUGAGGUAGCUGUGGUGAUGGUAGGUGUGGUAGGUGUGGUGAUGGAUGGUUUGGUGAUGGUAGGUAUGGUAGGUGUGGUGAUGGUCGGUGUGAUAGGUGUGGUGAUGGAUGGUUUGGUGAAGGUAGGUAUGGUAGGUGUUGUGAUGGUAGGUGUGGUGAUGGUAGGUGUGAGAGAAGUGGUGACGGUAGGUAUGUUACUUGUGGUGAUGGUUGGUGUGGUUGGUGUGGUGGUAGUUGUAGUAGGUACAUUUGGUAAGUGUGGUGAUGAUAGAUAUGGUAGGUAUGGUGAUGAUAGGUGUGGUAGUUUGGGUAGGUAGUUGUGGUAGGUAGGUUUGGUAGGUGAGGUGAUGGUAGGUGUGGUGAUGGUAGGUGGGGUAGGUUUGAUGAUAGUAGAAGUGAUAGUUGUGGUAGGUGUGGUAUUUGUGGAUUGUAGGUGUGUUGAUGGUAGGUGUGAUAGUUGUGGUAGGUCGAUGUGGUAGUUGUAGUAGGUAGGUGUGGUAGUUGUGUUAGGUAGGUGUGGCAGUUUUGGUAGGUAGGUGUGGUCGUUGUGGUACAUAUAUGUGGUGGUGUUGUUAGGUAGGUUAGGUGAUGGUAGGUUUUGUAGUUGUGGUGAUGAUAGGUGUGGUAGUUGUGUUAGUUUUGGUAGGUUGGUGUGGUGGUUGUGGUACAUAGGCAUGGUAGUUGUAGUAGUUGUGAUAAGUAGGUGUGGUAGUUGUGAUAGCUAGUUGUGGUAGGUAGUUGUGGUGAUUAGGCUUGGGCGGUAUCCAGAUUUUCAUAUUGUCAUACCAUCCUUCUCUCAUACUGGGGUUUACAGUAUUACCAGCAUAGCACAUGAGGGGGUGCUAAAAACACAAGAAAAACCUAUUGCCCUCUAUUACCAGAAUGCUAACAAAUUAGCACAAACUGAUAGCAAAUUCACAUAGACGCUGUUAGCUAAAUGCUAACAACUGAAAACAAACAAACUAAUUGCAAAGCAGUGGAGGCUGCUGAGGGGAAGACAGCUCAUAAUAAUGUCUGGAAUGAAGUCAAUUGACAUCUUUAAUGUGGUUGAUACCACUCCAUGGACUCCAUUCCAACCAUUAUUAUGAGCCGUCGUCUCCUCAGCAGCUUCCACUGUUGCAAAGAAAGGCAAAUCCAGCUCAUAAAGUGAUGUAAGGGAUAAUCAACGAGGGACUAUGAGUUCUAUGGUAAAUAAUGAACACUGUGGAACUGACCUUCCAUGGACUUGCAUUAUUUUCCAGAGAACCAUAAAGCCCUGAGUUGAUUAUCCCUUUUAUACCAUGGCUAUAAUUUAACACAUUUGCCGGUAGAAAUGUGUUCAACAUCCAUUGAAGUAGCUAGCAAGUUUACUAGAUAGCUACAGUAGUUGCCUUGGUAACAAACCAACACACUUGCUAGUUUAGAUAACCAAACCAUCAGUCCUAGCUUGCUAUUAUGAAAACCUAAUUCAACAACACCAAUAAUGUUUUCAAUUUGACUUCAUUUGUAAUGUCCAAAAGUCCAAACGUAAUUACCGUGGAUUGGAGGGAAGAGGUCUGUGAACCAAUAUCUGACGUUUUAGGGAAGCAUUUUUCAGGUAAAGACAAUUCAAAUUCAUUAAAAUUAUGAAAAGUUCUAAAAAAAAUCAAAACGUUUUUGAUAUUUAUUAGUGGGAUGUGGUUCCUGAACCAAUAACAGUUGGUUGUAUUCAUUAAAGUAAUAUGCAACUAAUUGCAUUUGAGAAAAGAGGUCUCUUAUCAGUGCCAAAUUUGUUUGAGAUCUCUAUGUCAUGUCUUUGAGAAGGUAUUGAUAUUUUCAUUUAGAGGCAAUUGUAUGCGAUGCAGUUUUAAGACGGUUCCUUAACCCUCUGAGCAGAGGAUGGCACAUUUUUAGCUACAUUUCACCUCCAAAAAGUGAAUAUGACACCGAAUGGUAAAAACAAGGGGUUUAACUUAUUCACUAUCAUCAGACGAUUUAGAAUAUUACAUUUAUAUAUUUUUUAUUUAUUUAACUAGUUCAGUCAGUUAAGAACAAAUUCUUAUUUACAACAACUACCUAGGAACAGUAGGUUAACCGCCUUAUCCAGUUGUCUUGAAAGAACCAUAAAUCCAGAGAAUGACAGACUUUGAUGCCAAACCUCCGCUACACCUUCCUGUUCAAGUGAGCACAACAAGGUGAGUCCAAAAAUGUAUUGAAUGCUGCUCUAUAAAUGAUGUAAUAUGCCAGGGAGAUAUGUAUACUGUAGAUAAGAAAGUAAUACUAAGUGUAUGUUGUGUAGUAAGCUGUUAGUAGCCCAUGUGCCUCACCCUAAUAAUGUUGUCCCUUUCCCCUCUCAUAACUUAGCCUACUGCUCUGACUUGAUGAUACACAUGUAGACUAUAGCCUGUUUUAGAGAAAUGUAAUCAUCAAAUAUUGUAAGAGCUUUCAUUGUCUGCUUAUAUGCAGUUAUGACUUGGUGUACAGGGAGAAUACUGUAAGAAUGGCCCAUGUUCAAAAUUAUGUCGCUGUACAUUUCAAAAGUGCUGAACAAAUGGUUAUAUUGACGACGUCCAUCCUAGCUCUCUCAUUGUCUUAAUCUAAAUUACAGAUAUCCUGUAGUCCACUCGUUGUCCCCUUGUGCCAUAGUUUGUACAUCUCAAUUGUCAGUAGAAACCACAUUUGUUUAAGCAAGUCAGCCAUAUCAGCUAUGUUUUUUAAAAAGGAUUCUCUCCAUGGUGCUGAAAAGAAAGCUCUGCUGUUGGGACAGCUUUAUGUCGACCCUAACAGUUUGUGGGCACCGUUUGUUAAAGUUAUAGUGCAAUUAAUGUAUUGUUUAGUGUUGUGUUGUGUAGUGGCUUUGCUGGCAUUCAUCUAAAACAUUUUGGGGGAGUUUUCCCCACCAAGAUGUACAUGCUGCAAUCACCACUGGGUGGGUGAAUUAUAACACACCAACCCUGUUACCUAUAGAUAGACAGUCUAGAAAUGUUUAAACUAUUUACAUGUGUUUGGUAAGCUUGCAUUCCAUUCCCCCUGUCACAUGGGGAUCUAUGGUCGAUUCUAGAUGAAAUAGUCAACUCUGUUACAGUCAACCCUGUCACUUUAUUUGGCACUUAAUAGGCACUUACUAUAGUAUGUAUUUGUUACUUUGAGAUGGAAAAACAUGUUUUGUAUUAAGUUGAACAUGUGCUCUUUAUGACAGAAUGUUAGAAUUAGGUGAAAUAUAAAGUUACACCCCCCAAAAGGUGCUCAAUUGGUGGAAUGACCCGAGUACUGAACUGGAGGUGGGAGAGCUAACGAUGCGUCUACUGUUGCUCUCUCCUCAGAUUCUUAGAGAAGCUAUUUCAAUCUGAUAUUACUCCUAUGGUCUAAAAUAGAUGUGUAUAGAGGACUCCUCUGUAAUAUAACAUGUCACACAUUGUAUCAAACUGAUGGAAUGUUAGGUGUCUCAUUGAAAGUCUAACAUCUACCAUGACUACUGGAUGUUUCAAUUCUAAUAAAUAACAAAACAAUCCACACCGUAACAACAACAUUGCUUUUUUACUAAAUGCUUUUAUUAAAGAGUAAAACUUUGCUAACAAAAAUGACAUCAUCAAACAUCACUGGCCUGACUUGAGCAGCUCUGCCCGGGGAUGGAGCCAGCAACUUAGCUGCUACCGGUCCGGUCCAGGCUACCUGCAGACCUCCUCCCAGACCUCCUUUUCAGCACCUCCCCUUAACAGGAGAGGUGGUGAAAAUGAUCAGAGUUGCAUUCAACUUGAAUAAAGAUGAGAAACUCUGGUCUGUGGAGCCACUGGUCUGAGGGGAGGACUUCUGUUGAAACCAUUUCCAUUUUGGGGAUAUUUUCUAGGACUGUAGAGGUGGUAAGCAGAGAUUAAUUUAACUUGGAUACAGAUGAGAGUCUCUGUUCUUGGGAGGAGGGUCACUGACCUUCGAUGGUUUGUUGCCUGAUAAAGAGGAUACUUGCUGGCUUGAGGAGACUAUAAUGUUUUGAGGAGGACAUGUGGCUCGAUGACUUAAAGAGGAGGAGGAAUUAUUGGGCGACACUUUUAAUUACCAACGUAACCUCAGUGGAACUGUGGCUUCAUCGAGUUCCAGCUCUAGGCAGACAGCACGUCAGNNNNNNNNNNAUUGCUUUUUUACUAAAUGCUUUUAUUAAAGAGUAAAACUUUGCUAACAAAAAUGACAUCAUCAAACAUCACUGGCCUGACUUGAGCAGCUCUGCCCGGGGAUGGAGCCAGCAACUUAGCUGCUACCGGUCCGGUCCAGGCUACCUGCAGACCUCCUCCCAGACCUCCUUUUCAGCACCUCCCCUUAACAGGAGAGGUGGUGAAAAUGAUCAGAGUUGCAUUCAACUUGAAUAAAGAUGAGAAACUCUGGUCUGUGGAGCCACUGGUCUGAGGGGAGGACUUCUGUUGAAACCAUUUCCAUUUUGGGGAUAUUUUCUAGGACUGUAGAGGUGGUAAGCAGAGAUUAAUUUAACUUGGAUACAGAUGAGAGUCUCUGUUCUUGGGAGGAGGGUCACUGACCUUCGAUGGUUUGUUGCCUGAUAAAGAGGAUACUUGCUGGCUUGAGGAGAC
rnacentral:lncRNA from 13 species